UUAACACAUGCAAGUCGAACGGAAUCUUCGGAUUUAGUGGCGGACGGGUGAGUAACGCGUGAGAAUCUAGCUCUAGGUCGGGGACAACCACUGGAAACGGUGGCUAAUACCGGAUGUGCCGAAAGGUGAAAGAUUUAUUGCCUAGAGAUGAGCUCGCGUCUGAUUAGCUAGUUGGUGUGGUAAGAGCGCACCAAGGCGACGAUCAGUAGCUGGUCUGAGAGGAUGAUCAGCCACACUGGGACUGAGACACGGCCCAGACUCAUACGGGAGGCAGCAGUGGGGAAUUUUCCGCAAUGGGCGAAAGCCUGACGGAGCAAUACCGCGUGAGGGAGGAAGGCUCUUGGGUUGUAAACCUCUUUUCUCAGGGAAUAAGAAAGUGAAGGUACCUGAGGAAUAAGCAUCGGCUAACUCCGUGCCAGCAGCCGCGGUAAUACGGAGGAUGCAAGCGUUAUCCGGAAUGAUUGGGCGUAAAGCGUCCGCAGGUGGCACUGUAAGUCUGCUGUUAAAGAGCAAGGCUCAACCUUGUAAAGGCAGUGGAAACUACAGAGCUAGAGUACGUUCGGGGCAGAGGGAAUUCCUGGUGUAGCGGUGAAAUGCGUAGAGAUCAGGAAGAACACCGGUGGCGAAAGCGCUCUGCUAGGCCGUAACUGACACUGAGGGACGAAAGCUAGGGGAGCGAAUGGGAUUAGAUACCCCAGUAGUCCUAGCCGUAAACGAUGGAUACUA
rnacentral:rRNA from 2 species